UAGCUCAGCUGGUAGAGCAUGGUGUUUGUACGCAUGGUGUUUGCAACGCCAGGGUUGUGGGUUCGAUUCCCAC
rnacentral:tRNA from 1 species